rnacentral:ribozyme from 14 species
AAAAAAAAAAAAAAAAAAAAGGAAAGGAAAGAUCUCCGAAGAGGCAAAGACUAUAGGGAUUUUAUUUUAUUUUCUUCUUUUUUCCUUUCUUCCAUUUCUUUCCUUGUCCCCUCUUG